CCCCCCCCCCUCGCUACUUGCUUCUACUACUAGCUCCCCCUAUUUGUCUUUGUCGUUGUUGUUGGUGGUGAACCGUGAAUUUAUGCUGGAUUGAUUGAGUGAGAGCUGUGAGUUCGCGCAGUAGAGGUUUGAUUGAGUGGUGCAGUGGGUUUGUUUGUUUUUUUUUUUUUUUGUUUUGUUUUGUUUUGUUUUUUUUUUACUUCUCUGAUGUGAUGCGUGUGUUGUGUGUGUGUGUUGUAAUGCUAUAGUGCGGGAUGGUCGUGAGUAGGAGACUAGUGAGUGUGAGCCGUGUGUUUUUUUUUUGGGGGGGUUUAGUUUAGUUUAUUGUGUCGUUUGUUGUCUGGUGAGAAGAAUUCGGCGACAGGAUGGGAGAUGGGGAUAGUGAGGAGGUGGGAUGCGAUGAUGCUGCUGCCCGGGAAUGCAAUGUAUGAGGAGUUGCAUCCUCUGCUGUGCCCACAUGCGUCGUGGCGCGUGGCGGCCGCGCGUGGGACAGCAUAGAAUGCGGAUCCUUGUAAAUUGGCUUGUGUCGUGACGGAGUUCUCUGAAUCAGGAGUGUGGAACGCAUUCUGCCUUUGUUGGAACUCGUCGCCGAGCGCGCAUCCGGCUCGAGCUCAUUCGACGAAGAAAGCGAGCGGCCAUCUUUGUUCUAGAUGGUGUUCGCGACGGCUGAGAACACUGCAAGCUGCUGUAUACCUUCUUCACGGAUUCCAGUCCUGGUUACUCUCAUCUCAAUCAGUCUCGUGGUCCAGCUUAGAACGGAGCUCCCUCCAAGACGACUUAAGCGCAAAUCCAUGGUAGAACGUCUGUGUGCAGCGCCGCUCUGAACUGGAGCAGCAGCGCUAAAACGCCAAACUCCGACAAAUUUGCCACUAUGUAUCGAAACCAUCCUCCCCACAUCGCAGCCCUUUUCAGAGAAAAAGAGAAAAAGAAAACAAAAUAGUAGCUUGAGUCAUCACUAGGUAAACACACGGCACACGCGCUGCGCCGGCCAAUAUUCGGAACGAUUCACGUCGAGCUCCGUCCAUUCAGCGGUAAGUCGGUACACUUCAGUGGUGGAGGUUCAUGGGGACUCUGAGCAAUUUGCAGCGUUGGAAUCUCGGUGACUCACACUUGUGCUUGUUCCCCCCUAACUCCCACUUUUGUUAAGGUAAUUGCAUCCACUGCAUUGCUUCAAGACGCUGUGCGAUGGUGAUUUGAGCACGUGAACAGUUUAGUUGUUGCAUUGACCUGGAACUCAAUUGGUUUGCAUGCGUUUGACUGUGUAAUAUUAACAAGUGGGUUGAAAAAGGUUUGUUUGAGUGAACAGUGUGUGCAUCCAGAGAAGAAGAAGAUAAAAAACUAAAAGAAACUAAAAAAACUAAAAAAACUAAACACACACGCACACGCACACACAACUAGCUUAUUAGGGUGAUGUGGGAGUAAAUUGGCAGUUAUUUCCAGUCUUAGGGAAUGUUAACAACACUCUUAAAUCCAAUAUAUGAAUUUUUACGUACAUAAAAAUUUGAACACAUAACGUGGGUUUUAUGCCCGUGUUGCUUUUCUGAACUACUCAACUGCAACAGCUAAUUUUAGUCCAAAUUUGGAUCAUGUUCGUUCAGAAUAAGACUUCAAAGAAUCCACCGUUGCCAGUUUCUAAAUGCGAUUAAGUCAGCGUUCCGAGUUUUUUUAUGUGGAUCGUUACACUUCGGUAUACUAGUCAAAGAUUGUGUUUUACAGAAUAACAAUCGUUCAUUCGAAACAAUGAUGGAUGGCUAAAAAUAAUAAUAAGUGUAGGAAUGUGCCUUCCUUUCAAAGCUCUACUUUCACGACUUAUUUCCAAUUCUACCUUCCAUUUCUUUAUCCCAUGGUCUGAAUAUACCAAAACAGUUCACUUCAUGAUUACUUCUGAAUAUGUUGUUUAUAUGGUGUUUUAAUUUAAUUAUCACUUUUUGGUUAGUGUUUACAAUUUAGAUUUUAAAUCUUAGUCUUCUAUGUGAUAUGUUUGUUUUCAGUCGUAAUCACUACGAUGAAAAUAAUUGCCCUAGGAUUAUUGUGGAUAAAAAUCAGAAGGCAUUGCAAUUUUGAA